CGAUAACGAACGAGACCUUAACCUGCUAAAUAGUUAGGCCAACGUUUGUUGGUCGUCAACUUCUUAGAGGGACUAUUGACUAUUAGUCAAUGGAAGUUUGAGGCAAUAACAGGUCUGUGAUGCCCUUAGAUGUUCUGGGCCGCACGCGCGCUACACUGAUCAAGUCAACGAGUUUACAACCUUGGCCGGAAGGUCUGGGUAAUCUUUUGAAACUUGAUCGUGCUGGGGAUAGUCCAUUGCAAUUAUUGGACUUCAACGAGGAAUUCCUAGUAAGCGUGAGUCAUCAGCUCGCGUUGAUUACGUCCCUGCCCUUUGUACACACCGCCCGUCGCUACUACCGAUUGAAUGGCUA
rnacentral:rRNA from 1 species